UACGGAGGAUCCGAGCGUUAUCCGGAUUUAUUGGGUUUAAAGGGUGCGUAGGUGGAUUGGUAAGUCAGUGGUGAAAGUUUGCAGCUUAACUGCAGAACUGCCAUUGAUACUGAUAGUCUUGAGUUUGGUUAAGGUAGGCGGAAUGUGUAAUGUAGCGGUGAAAUGCUUAGAUAUUACACAGAACACCAAUUGCGUAGGCAGCUUACUGAGCCGACACUGACGCUGAGGCACGAAAGCGUGGGGAUCGAACAGGAUUAGA
rnacentral:rRNA from 1 species